rnacentral:rRNA from 1 species
CUACGGGUGGCACCAGUGGGGAAUAUUGGACAAUGGGCGAAAGCCUGAUCCAGCAAUACCGCGUGUGUGAAGAAGGCCUGAGGGUUGUAAAGCACUUUCAAUAGGAAGGAAUACCUAUCGGUUAAUACCCGGUAGACUGACAUUACCUAUACAAGAAGCACCGGCUAACUCCGUGCCAGCAGCCGCGGUAAUACGGAGGGUGCAAGCGUUAAUCGGAAUUACUGGGCGUAAAGCGUGCGUAGGCGGUUAUUUAAGUCAGAUGUGAAAGCCCUGGGCUUAACCUGGGAACUGCAUUUGAUACUGGAUGACUAGAGUUGAGUAGAGGAGAGUGGAAUUUCAGGUGUAGCGGUGAAAUGCGUAGAGAUCUGAAGGAACACCAGUGGCGAAGGCGGCUCUCUGGACUCAAACUGACGCUGAGGUACGAAAGCGUGGGUAGCAAACAGGAUUAGAUACCCCGGUAGUC